UAGGGAAUAUUGGUCAAUGGGCGAGAGCCUGAACCAGCCAUGCCGCGUGCAGGAAGACGGCCUUCUGGGUUGUAAACUGCUUUUAUCAGGGAACAAAAAGGCUCUGCGGAGCAAAUUGCGUGUACCUGAAGAAUAAGCACCGGCUAACUCCGUGCCAGCAGCCGCGGUAAUACGGAGGGUGCAAGCGUUGUCCGGAUUUAUUGGGUUUAAAGGGUGCGUAGGCGGUCAAUUAAGUCAGUGGUGAAAUCCUGCAGCUCAACUGUAGAACUGCCAUUGAUACUGGUUGACUUGAGUACAGACGAGGUAGGCGGAAUUUAUGGUGUAGCGGUGAAAUGCAUAGAUACCAUAAAGAACACCUAUAGCGAAGGCAGCUUACUAGACUGUAACUGACGCUGAGGCACGAAAGCGUGGGGAGCGAACAGGAUUAGAUACCCCCGUAGUCC
rnacentral:rRNA from 1 species